rnacentral:misc_RNA from 1 species
GAUGAAGAACGUAGCGAAAUGCGAUAAGUAAUGUGAAUUGCAGAAUCCAGUGAAUCAUCGAAUCUUUGAACGCACAUUGCGCCCGCCAGCAUUCUGGCGGGCAUGCCUGUUCGAGCGUCAUUUCAACCCUCGACCUCCCUUUGGGGAAGUCGGCGUUGGGGACCGGCAGCACACCGCCGGCCCUGAAAUGGAGUGGCGGCCCGUCCGCGGCGACCUCUGCGUAGUAAUCCAACUCGCACCGGAACCCCGGCGCGGCCACGCCGUAAAACACCCAACUUCUGAACGUUGACCUCGAAUCAGGUAGGACUACCCGCUGAACUUAAGCAUAUCAAUAAGCGGAGGA